rnacentral:misc_RNA from 1 species
GAUCAAAAAGACAUACAUAAAGACCAGGC